GAAUGCCAGGAUGCAGUCUAACAGUCAAAUAUUGCAAAAGAAUGUCAAUCAUUCUAUCACACAAAAGAUACAACCGGGAUCUUGAUCCUAACUUGACCGAUUGAUAUCUAAUAAUGGUUCCCGAGAUUGAGCGGUUGGUUCUCCAUGUCUUUCCCUUCCCGCAUCCAACCACCAUUCUCCAUCCUACCUAGUAAAGGAUGUAGCCUACAGCCCAAAUGUAAGGCCAUAACUUCUGAAGUUACAAACUAGUAAUGUCACUGCAUUCAU
rnacentral:lncRNA from 1 species